GCACGGAUUACCAUACAAAACACCUAUGUUAGACCCUCACGUGGCCGCAUUAUGCACCAAAAAAAUGCUCUUGGCAGUCUACAAAAAGAUGAACUAGUUCUUCAUAUUCUUCGUGGCCUUGGCUCUGAAUAUAAUGGUUUGGCAGAGGCUAUUCGUGCUCGUGAUACCUCAAUCACAUUUGAUGAACUGCACGAAAAACUGGCUACCAGGGAAACCCAACUCCAACCUCCUUCAUCUGGCUCUCCCUCUCCUUUUCAACCUAUUACGGCCAAUAUUGCCUCUCGAAAUCCACCUGCCACACGAUCAUACAACUUGUCUUCUGGUGGCUCACGGCCCCAUUAUACACCCGAGCAGCGUCCUCCAUCAAAAACUCCCAGACCUCGGACCAACAAUACCCCAGAUUACUCUCCUCGACCAUACCUUGGCAAGUGCCAACUCUGUGGGGAACAAGGUCAUUCGGCCAAACGCUUUACUACCUUUCGUUAGUCACCAGUCAUCUCCAACUCCACUCCUUCACAUCAGCCACGGCAACACCAAGCAAAUCUGGCUGCUCACUCCACUGAUUCGGCUACUCAAGAAUGGUUUCUUGACUCCGGCGCAUCGCACCAUAUAACCAAUGAUCUUGGCAACCUCUCCCUUUACUCUAAUUAUUUUGGGCAGGAUGAUGUUCAAAUUGGUGACGGUAAUGGAUUACACAUCACACACACCGGUCACACUCGUUUUUAAUCUCAUAACUUUGUUUUUU
rnacentral:lncRNA from 1 species